AUUGAACGCUGGCGGCAUGCCUUACACAUGCAAGUCGAACGGCAGCACGGGAGCAAUCCUGGUGGCGAGUGGCGAACGGGUGAGUAAAGUAUCGGAACGUGCCCAGUCGUGGGGGAUAACGUAGCGAAAGUUACGCUAAUACCGCAUACGAUCUAUGGAUGAAAGCGGGGGAUCGCAAGACCUCGCGCGAUUGGAGCGGCCGAUAUCAGAGUAGGUAGUGGGGGGGGUAAAGGCUCACCAAGCCGACGAUCUGUAGCUGGUCUGAGAGGACGACCAGCCACACUGGGACUGAGACACGGCCCAGACUCCUACGGGAGGCAGCAGUGGGGAAUUUUGGACAAUGGGCGAAAGGCUGAUCCAGCCAUGCCGCGUGCAGGAUGAAGGCCUUCGGGUUGUAAACUGCUUUUGUACGGAACGAAAAGGUUUGGCCUAAUAAGCUGAGCUCAUGACGGUACCGUAAGAAUAAGCACCGGCUAACUACGUGCCAGCCGCCGCCGUAA
rnacentral:rRNA from 1 species